rnacentral:rRNA from 1 species
CGAACGGGUGGGUAAUACAUAAGUAACCUGCCCUAGACAGGGGGAGUAACUAUUGGAAACGAUAGCUAAGACCGCAUAGGUACGGACACUGCAUGGUGACCGUAUUAAAAGUGCCUCAAAGCACUGGUAGAGGAUGGACUUAUGGCGCAUUAGCUGGUUGGCGGGGUAACGGCCCACCAAGGCGACGAUGCGUAGCCGACCUGAGAGGGUGACCGGCCACACUGGGACUGAGACACGGCCCAGACUCCUACGGGAGGCAGCAUG